rnacentral:rRNA from 1 species
CUUUUAGAGAUAGAAGUGUUCUCUUCGGAGACAAAGUGACAGGUGGUGCAUGGUCGUCGUCAGCUCGUGUCGUGAGAUGUUGGGUUAAGUCCCGCAACGAGCGCAACCCUUAUUGUUAGUUGCCAGCAUUCAGUUGGGCACUCUAGCGAGACUGCCGGUGACAAACCGGAGGAAGGCGGGGACGACGUCAGAUCAUCAUGCCCCUUAUGACCUGGGCUACACACGUGCUACAAUGGCGUAUACAACGAGUUGCCAACCUGCGAGGGUGAGCUAAUCUCUUAAAGUACGUCUCAGUUCGGACUGCAGUCUGCAACUCGACUGCACGAAGUCGGAAUCGCUAGUAAUCGCGGAUCAGCACGCCGCGGUGAAUACGUUCCCGGGUCUUGUACACACCGA